rnacentral:lncRNA from 1 species
CAAAUAAAAGAAUGAUUUUAACAUAUUAUACAUCAUAUAAUAUAUAAAAAAAUAUAAGAUAUUAUAACCUAUUGCUAAUAAACAAUGAUAAACUUAUGUUCUAGAGACACUUAACCAACAUAAAUAUUUCAUUCAUGUUUCAAGGUGGACCCCACCUAAGUCACCUUCCUCCAAACUAAUUUUCUCACGUAAACCACCAUUUAUUGCAUCAUGUUUAUUUAUUCAUUUAUUAAUUUUAAUUAAUAUUACACCCUCACACCAAGUGGCCCCUACAUUUCAAAAUAUUAAACACCAAAAUCAUACAUUCAGUCCUGCAUCCAUAAAACUAAAAUCUCUUCCAUAAAACCAUUUUAAAUUAUUUCUUUUGUUUCUACUGUUCAUUAACCACAAAUAUAACACUUCUUUUUCAAUUAUUUUAUUAUUAUAAUCUCUUUUUUUUUUUCCUAACUUAGUAUCCCACCACCUCUGAACCAAACUCCACUCAACAAUAACACUUUCUUCUCCUUAUAAAAGCUUACCCCAACACUUUCAUCCAGCAACUACUUAACACCCCUUAAACCCAAUAUUUUCUUCUUCUUCAUAACCUAAAAUAUUACUUCUGAUUGCAAAACCUUCCCAUGCAAAGCAAAAACCCUUUCCAUUCCUUCCCUCCGACGAGAAUAACCAUUCUUCCGAGUGCUAAAAAAAAAUGUCGUGAGGCAUACCACCUGUGCUAACCAACCAUUCUCCUAAUUCCCGAAAACACCAUUGAAUAACUCUCUUCUCUGCCUUUAAUUACUACCCUUAAAUCUUACUUCUUCAUACAGUAAAACAUAUAUAUCUCCUGCAACCCAAGAUUUCACAUCCUAACCACUUUCUCUCUUUUCUCACUACUCAAUACUUAACAUAUACCAUAUUCUAAAUUCUCCCCACUACCGACACAGACGUACAAAACAUGCCCCUGUUUUCUUUCUUCUAAAUCUCAAUCACGUAAACCCUUGAUAUAAAUUCUCCCCCAUUUAAUCAUUCAUUUUAUUUACCUUCUCUACUUUCCCAAUAACCCUUCUUCUUUCAUUUUCUCUACAUCACCAGACAACCACAAACCUGCAAUAUCUCUUCCUUUACGUGAAACACUAACGUUUCUACAUUCCCAUACCAGAACUACAACACCUCUUCAACCUUUCUAAAACCAGCGAACCUAAGUUUCUUCAUCUCUAAACUUUCCAACAUAUAUUGAAUUAUAAUAUUUUAUAUUUAAUCCUAAUCGAAUAAAAGAUUUCUUCCAUCAACGCAUAACCCAUAAUAUAACCAAUGCAUACCUCUCCUAACAGUCCAAAUUACCACAAUCAAGUUCAUCAAAACACACCACAGACAAUUAAUCACAGGUUCAUCAUUUGCACAAUCCAAUUCAUGCUCAACAGGUAUAUAAAACCGUGAGAAAUACAAUUCAAACCGUACAUAGCUUCAAAUCCAAUAUGCAUAUAUUUUAUAAAAUAAAUUUGCACAAAAUAAUUAGCUCCCCUUACCUUUUGGUUCUCACAGCACAGUUCCUAAAAAAACGCCCUAAAAGUAUCUUCGCAUAGAGGUAAUUUCGACAGUACCUAUAAGCCACCAAAUUGGUGUAGAGCACAAUCUUUAGAACUUGAUAGGAUAAGGAAAAAUAAAAAUAACCCUACUUGCAAGUAUAACCUUUGCAUGAGUAAAACCCUAGGGUGCGGAGAAUGGGAAAUUUACCUUAUCAGCGGAGAGACACGAAACUAAUCGGAUGAUUUGGAAGCUCUCGACUUUGGAAACGUGGGGCACCACGUAUUUGAAAAUGAAACGAUGAAAAUUUGAGAAAGAGUAGAGAGAAGGUGGAGCAAGGUUUAGAGAGAAGGCAAAGCUUUUAAAGAACCCACCUUUUAGAGAGAGAGAAUUUUAGCUAAAAUGAACUCUGACUUAGUAAAACCCCCUGCCCCUAAGGCUGCCUUUAAUUUCUAUGGGCCUGUCUGCCUUGUUUUAGAAAUUUCUCUGGCCCUUACAUUCAACUUCAAAUUUGUCAAGAGUAUUUCUAUUUUGAAUUAGUUGGUAUGACCAUAUUUCAAAACCUAACUUCAUGUUUUCCCUUAUGUGACUGUCCUUGAUAUAAAGUUUUAUAUUUAUAUUAAUGGAAUUCUAUAAUUUUAAGCACACAUUUUUUAACAUGACAAUGAUAAUUACUACAUUAAAGUAUCCAUGUUAACAAAAACCUCAAACAUUUAUUAAAAUAUUUUAAAAUAUGUAAAAAGCACAACAGUUUG